rnacentral:rRNA from 1 species
GAUCAGGCUCAGGAUGAACGCUGGCGGCGUGCCUAACACAUGCAAGUCGAGCGAAGCAUUUUAAAGGAAGUUUUCGGAUGGAAUUUGAAAUGACUGAGCGGCGGACGGGUGAGUAACGCGUGGGUAACCUGCCUCAUACAGGGGGAUAACAGUUAGAAAUGACUGCUAAUACCGCAUAAGCACACAGUACCGCAUGGUACAGUGUGAAAAACUCCGGUGGUAUGAGAUGGACCCGCGU